UUUUGGCUAAAUACUGUAUACUUAAAUAUUUGUCUUGAUUGAAUGAUGAUGACGAUGAAGAGACCACAUCUGCUGUGACAGAAGUGGACAAUGCUGGUAGAUCCACUGAGGUAUGAUGCAUACCAUUAUGAUGUAUGGCCCCUUUUUGCAUUAGAGUAACAAACUGUCAUUGUCCUUUCAUAGUACAUACCUAGGGAUCUGCCCACAGAUGAGGGUCCUUCAGCCUCAGCACACAAUCUAAGCAGGUUGCCAGCAAAGGAGCUGUAUAAGGUCCAUCUUCAAAAACAAAUAAGAAAAAGUGACAUGGAGAUGGACCUUAUACAGCUUCAAAUGGAAGAGAAAAGGCUCCUCAUUAAAAAAGCAGCACUUGAAAUAGAAUUACUUGAGAAUCGCCUUAAGGAAAUGAAGAAAUAAACUGCCUGGCAGACCAGUGCAAAAAAAAAACUAAUAAAAGUAAUUUUGACAAAUCCUUUCUCUCAAAAGUCUUCCGUCUCUGUUGGCCUCUAAAAUCUGUCGGUGUUCCUCUGGGCCAUCUUCCUCAAUACAAGGAGGGUGGCUCUCUCCUCUUAUAGUGGCAAUAUUGUGAAGCACAACACAAGCCACAAUAAUGUCGCAUGCCCUCUCUGGACUAACCCGGAGCCCACGCAGACACUGAAACCGAGAUUUGAGGAUCCCUAUAGUCAUCUCCACCUUGGCCCAUGUUCGGCUGUGAGCCAGGUUAAACCGUGUCUGUGGUCCAGGCUCAGGUUCAGGGUAGGGUGUCAUUAAAUAGGGCAGACAAGGGUAUCCUCUGUCCCCCAGCAAGUAACCAUUGUACUGUCCUAAAAUUCUGGCAUCAUGCACAGAUCCUGGCCAUUUUGCCUCGACAUUGGUGAUGAUUUGGGUUGCCUCACAUAUUACCUAUAGUUAGUGGAAAAAGUAAUGACUUUGAUGAUUUUAAGAAGGGGAAAAAAUUUAGUUGUUACCUGCACAUUGAUACUAUGAAUAGAUUUCCUAUUAACAUAGUCUCCCUCAUUUAUUGAUGGAGCUUUAAUAGGAAUGUGAGUGCC